rnacentral:tRNA from 1 species
GCGGAGGUGGCCCAGCCUGGCAAGGCGCAGGAUUGCUAAUCCUGUGUCCGCAAGGACUCGGGGGUUCAAAUCCCCCCCUCCGCGCCA